CACGUAGGGCGCAAGCGUUGUCCGGAAUUAUUGGGCGUAAAGAGCUCGUAGGCGGCUUGUCGCGUCGACUGUGAAAACCCGCGGCUCAACCCCCGGGCCUGCAUUCGAUACGGGCAGACUAGAGUUCGGUAGGGGAGUCUGGAAUUCCUGGUGUAGCGGUGAAAUGCGCAGAUAUCAGGAGGAACACCGGUGGCGAAGGCGGGACUCUGGGCCGAUACUGACGCUGAGGAGCGAAAGCGUGGGGAGCGAACAGG
rnacentral:rRNA from 1 species